CUUCCUCCAAAGGAUCUGAGCAGUUUAAUGACAGUAUUUUUUUCCCAUCCGCAUUAAAAACUGUGAAAUAAAAGCAGUAGCUGCGCAGUAAAUGCGUCCAUCAUUUGUUAUUGAAAUCAUCAAAAAGAAGAAGCCAAACUGAACUGCCAGUACAGAACAAAAAAAAUUCCCUGUCCCAUGAUUCAUUACGUUGUCGACCGGAAGUCAAAUGCCUCGUGUUACGCAACAUUCCCCAAUUGUGUCGGUCGCCAAGUGGCGCUCGUUUGCACACGUCGGUCCUCUGCAGCAAUGACAGAAGAAAAGAAACUGUACAAAGAUUGCGGAUUAAUCGUGCUCGGCUUUCAACAACCGUGUGAGAUAUUCAUUGACGCUUCAUUAUCGUGGCUGCAGUCGUGAAGACGUACAAUGCAUCAUGCGGGAGCUGUUUCCAAUAUUUUGCUCACCUUCAUUCAACUACAUCACAGUCGUAAGGGCCCUCCGAGGGAAGUCAUAACUGCGAUGUGGCCCGUGACAAAAAUGAGUUUGACACCCCUGAACUACAUCAAGGGGACGACAUCUUGCCGGAACCCGAAGUAAGACUGAACAGGCACAAGAAAACGUGCUCGUCCUCUCCAUAUUCGGACAAUCGUCAUCAUCAUCAUCAUCAUCAUCAUCAUCAUGUACCUGUUUGGGUGCUUCUGUUUGGACAAACUCAAAGUAGAUCCUGUUGGCAGACGAGAUCAUCUCCGGGACGUUCUUCAUUUUUUUAUGCUCCUCACAUGCAAGCCAAAACAGGAUGUUCUCCUCGCUGUGCUCCGACUGCAAGAACUGUCGGAAAGCUAACUGACCUUCUGGAAAGCAAAGACGACAGGGAAGCAGCGAUAGCGCAGACAGGACAACAAACGUGCGAGUGGGAGAAUGUCUUCAUCGAUCCACUUGAACCGAGAGAGGUACUGACUUUUGCAAGUGAGGACAUUGUCCACCGACUCGCUCCAAGCAUCAACGUCCUCCGGCGGGUCCUCGGGAAAGCAGCACAAUCUACCCUUGAAAAGAGCAUGGAGAUCAACCAUUAGCCACCUUAGCGGACAAUUAUUCUUACCAAUUAACCUUCCAACAACCUUCUUUUGAAAGUGCAAAAUAACACUUACAGACAGUGAAAUCCUUCUUGUCAUUUUCCACAUGGCUGCUGUAAAUUGUUGUAAAAGGUAAAUGCCCGAUAGUCAAAUGUACACAAAGUCUCUUUGUCCAAAAAGCAGGGGAGAUAGCGACAAGAAACUGCUCGACUGAUGAUGUGAUUGCGAUUGCUUGGAGAUGAGGGCGACAGGUGACUUCACAAAUCCAAAUUCGCCUUCCCAAAAUGAAUGGAAAGUAUGGAAAUGUGUAUGCAAAGUAUUAUUGGGGGCAUUCUUCCAUGUCUGCCACACCUCAGAGACAAGAAAGCUUGACUGUGAUUUGGCGUUAGUGUACGUAUUACCUUCGCCGAGGAGGUUAUUAGUAUAAAAAAAAUAAAAAAUAAUGUAGUGCGAGUUCCUGUCUGUAGCUUUUGAGACAUACAUUUGUAUUUUUAGGGUGGGUAUUGGUAUUAUAUCAUAUUUUCGUGAUAAUCAGUGAAUUGAUGACAUUAUUCAAUGGGAUCGAAAUAUCUGCACCAUCUUUUGUAAAUGAUAUUAAAGUGUCCUCCUUCUUGAGCCGUGGAGAGGUUUGAGUGUCCCAAUGAUCCUCGGAGCUAAGUUGUCUGGGGCGUUAUGCCCCUGGCAGGGUCACCCGUGGACUUUGCAUGUUCUCCCCGUGCCUGCGUGGGUUUUCGUCGGGUACUACGGUUUCCUCGCGCAUCCCCAA